rnacentral:tRNA from 1 species
AAAGAAAUAUGUAAAAAAAGCUUCUAACUUUUUAUAAAGCAUUAAUAUGUUUAU